AAUAAAAACAGUCGCUAAUUAAUUAGUUUUUUCACAAAAUCCCUAAUUCUAACUUAGACAUUUCAUUUUCAGAAAACCUAAUAUUCCAUUCCUCUCUUCUCUCUCCCGCCCAAAACUCCAUGAUCCUCUCUUCGCCUCAAGCUCCAUGAAAGAAGACUCUCUCGACUAGGCCAGCGGCGCACCACCGAAUCUUGAGGGCCAUUUCAACCUUCUCCACUCUAUUUCCCUCUCCGCUGGAUCUCUCUCCCCUUCGCCCUCUUCUUAGCACGACCCAACCACAACAAUACCUCCUUGGUGUCCUCUUCAUUGCCGACCACUGCUCCUCCAGAGGUGAAGAAGCUGCAAGGGCUAUUCCUCUUAGUGCAAGGAAAUCUAUUAGAGGAUCGAGUGAAGGAGUUGUACCAUUUCUGCAGCUCCAACAUUUUAGUGAGUCUGUUGCUCCAACAUUUUAAAAAUUACUCAAUCUUUCAUUAUAAAGCUUAUGACGCUACUUAGCGAUACAAUUUUAAAUCGAAGAUUAGAUAAGCAAGAAGGUACUUUGAAUAAUAUCAAAACUUAUGAAAGUUAGGAGUAGAAGAACCUUUUCUAAUAACACAUAUGGAGGAUAGGCUUGUAUAUUGUAAGUGUAAAUUUUUAUUAAGUUAUGGAUGUUGGGCUUGUAUAUUGAAAGUAUUCUUAGAAAUAUUUGUUAUAUAGACACUUUAUGUAAUAUUACUCAUGUAAUUGAUACAAUUUUAAAUUUAUCUUUUAUUAAUUCUAACUUUA